rnacentral:rRNA from 1 species
UGGGGAAUAUUGGACAAUGGGCGAAAGCCUGAUCCAGCCAUGCCGCGGGUGUGAAGAAGGUCUUCGGAUUGUAAAGCACUUUAAGUUGGGAGGAAGGGCAUUAACCUAAUACGUUAGUGUUUUGACGUUACCGACAGAAUAAGCACCGGCUAACUCUGUGCCAGCAGCCGCGGUAAUACAGAGGGUGCAAGCGUUAAUCGGAAUUACUGGGCGUAAAGCGCGCGUAGGUGGUUUGUUAAGUUGGAUGUGAAAUCCCCGGGCUCAACCUGGGAACUGCAUUCAAAACUGACUGACUAGAGUAUGGUAGAGGGUGGUGGAAUUUCCUGUGUAGCGGUGAAAUGCGUAGAUAUAGGAAGGAACACCAGUGGCGAAGGCGACCACCUGGACUAAUACUGACACUGAGGUGCGAAAGCGUGGGGAGCAAACA